AUUUAUUUUGAUAUUGCUAGAUAACUUUGCCUCCACAACAGAUUGAACAGCUGUAGAGUCAGAACCAGUAGCAUUGAACAUCCACUUUCCUUCAGUAAAAACAAAAUUCUUAUUUCAAAAAAUCCGUCCAUAGUAUCUGAGAAUCCUCUUCUCUUUUCGGAAACAAUGGACUUCUGUGUCAAUGAGUAGAUUCCAUCGUUGGAAAGGAAACAACUAAAACAAUUGCUUCUCAUCCGGCAUCCAACUUGCCUAAACUCAACAAGCUGAAGUGCAUCUCAAUUGCAUCUGUUAGUGGCCAAGUUCCAGAUUUGCCAUCAGUAAAGGAACAAUUUCAUUAUGUAUUACAUUUACAUAGUUUGAUUCAGCCUUUAUUUCAGAAAACCAAGCUAGCAAUUUUAUGUUAACCCGACCACCUUGAAUUUUGUGUAAUUAUGAAUCAAAUAUUCAAUAAAAGCGUAAUUAUGAAUCAAAUCUUAGCAACUAGCCAUACUGUUACUGUUCCGGUUAAUCAUGGAGAAAAAUUGAAGAAAUUCAAUGGCUUAAAUUUCAAGAG
rnacentral:lncRNA from 1 species